UAUUCCUCCUCCAUCCCAUUCUCCUGCCCCAGAAAUCAGUGGAGAAGUGAAAGAAACUCUACCAUGCAUUCAAAAACCGUUUGGCAGAGAUCAGAAGAGAUGGGGAAGUAGCAGUGGUGACUAGAUGCAGAUUUCUAGAAAUGCAGUUCAAUGCAGCAGACGGAAUAUGGAAGAGUCAUUCAAAUGGCACUGGUUGGAAAAAGUGAGACUUGCAAAAGCAUCAGGUUGUUGACUACUAAGGAGCAAGAGAUUUCACCUAACCAGAGUUAUCUUCUUCUGUACUUCUGUGAUGCAGAAUUAUGGGGUUUCUCUGAAUUUUGGACCCUACAACAGUCUUGCAGCUUGUAGCCAGCUCCCUCUGUCUUGCUGGAGGCACAGAUCAGCAAGAUUGGAGGGGAAGGAGGAUGAAGGAUUACUGACACACCUCACCUGGGAUGGGAUGGUGGCCACAGGCUCUGGUGUCCAAGGAGCUCCCUGUGCUAUACCCUGCUUGUCAAGCCUCCCUCAGCAUCUGUAACGGCUCCCAUCAAAAGUUUGAAACUAUGCAAGUCCACUUGUGUUCAAGAGCUGCUAUACUGCUGGAAAUUAAAAUAGGUUGGGGUCAAAUGUUUGUACAGAUAUUACAAAUAUUUAAUUGAACUGCUUCUGUCAAGUGCCUGCUCAGGUAGACUGCAGCUCAGGAAUUUUGGUGACUUUAGUCACUGCAGUGACUGGUGAGGCUAGGGUAAGGCUAAUAAAAUGCAUGCAAAGACAAAACUGACCACUAAAGCAAAUUACUUCUGGGAAAUAAA